UGUGGUGAAGGUCUGAACUCUCUACCAACCUGGCCAAGGGCAAGGGAAGGCUCGAUGGAGUGCCGAGAGCCUUGAAAAAUCAAGGGUUUAAAAUCAUUGAGAGGGGUGAAAUUGAAGUGAAAGGUAAAGGGAGAAUGACCACAUACUUUUUGAUCCAGAACUUGAAUGCCACAGAGGAUGAGAUCAUGGGGAGAUCUAAAACCCCAGUUGAUCACAAGGGGUCAACACAGAAAGCAUCCUUGCCCACCACCAAGCUCCAGGGCUCAGUUCAACCAUCUUGCCCUGAACACUCUUCUCUUGCAUCCUGGUUAUUAUGACGUUCUUUGAGCUGGGCCGAUAGAUCCAGCUGAAGAGUUCUACAUACAUUAGUCUUCAAGGUUCUUCUCUGGGCGUUUCCCAUGCAGCUCUCUGGUAGCUGGGGAAUGAUUUGUAAUGAGUACAUGAAACACGUUAAAUGUCCUUCAGCCUCCCUACCACGACAUCCAACAGCUGGAACUUCCAUCCAGUCCUUCACAUGAUGGGCACCUGUGGGAAACCUGCCAGGGGCAGCCGAUGUUCAGAGGCAUCCAAAAAAAGUCUCCCACUUCGGCAGCCAUGAAGCCCACUCAUGCAACCGUCCUCACUUUUCCUUCCUCUCACGGUUUUUUGCAGAAGCAAGUGCUCAGGGAAAUGAAGACAGGAGAACUGCUGCCGUCAUGAGCUAUGCCGACAGUCAGCAGCUGAUCCCCGACAGAAACGCAGCAGAUGCAGACGCUCCUGAUGAAAUCAUCCCUGUGGGGAGUGCAGGGCCAGAUGGGGACUCCAUGGAGACAGCCGACCGGCGACAGCCUUCAGCUCCGACAAAGACACAUCACCUUGCAAAUGACACUUUGCCGUCUGGUUUCUGUGUUUUGUUGUAACAGGUUAAAUGAACCCCUGGGCUUAAUUUUCCCCCUACUUAGUUCUGUGGCAGCAAAGAAAAGUGACUUCUUUUCAUUUCUCAGCUCAAAACUUCUUAAGCCGUGUCUCUUCCUCAUCAUCCCUUUGAGAAUAAAAGUCUAGAAAUGAAACACAA
rnacentral:lncRNA from 1 species